GAUGAACGCUGGCGGCGUGCCUAAUACAUGCAAGUCGAGCGAACAGAUGAGGAGCUUGCUCCUCUGACGUUAGCGGCGGACGGGUGAGUAACACGUGGAUAACCUACCUAUAAGACUGGGAUAACUUCGGGAAACCGGAGCUAAUACCGGAUAAUAUAUUGAACCGCAUGGUUCAAUAGUGAAAGACGGUUUUGCUGUCACUUAUAGAUGGAUCCGCGCCGCAUUAGCUAGUUGGUAAGGUAACGGCUUACCAAGGCAACGAUGCGUAGCCGACCUGAGAGGGUGAUCGGCCACACGGGAACUGAGACGCGGUCCAGACUCCUACGGGAGGCAGCAGUAGGGAAUCUUCCGCAAUGGGCGAAAGCCUGACGGAGCAACGCCGCGUGAGUGAUGAAGGUCUUCGGAUCGUAAAACUCUGUUAUUAGGGAAGAACAAAUGUGUAAGUAACUAUGCACGUCUUGACGGUACCUAAUCAGAAAGCCACGGCUAACUACGUG
rnacentral:rRNA from 1 species